rnacentral:lncRNA from 1 species
AUGCCACCCGGCCCCCAGCAUCAGCCCCGCGGGAGGCCACGCGGAAGUCAAGCUCCUCAGCAGGGACCCGCACAGACGCAGACCACCAGGGCUGUUCUCCCCAAAGCCCCCCUAGUCUCCGCCCACGUGUGCCCCCCUCCCCCCGCGCCCUGCCCCUGUAAACGCCUCCUGACCCUGACGUGGCUGGGCGAGCUGCAGAAGUGCCGAGUCCGACCAGGGGCAGCCUCGCCCGCCGCUCAGCUCGGGAAUCCCCGCCCCCCACCAGCACCUCCGUGGGGGGCACCGCAAGUUCAAGGGCCUGGACUCAGAGACCAGAGGCUGGAACUGGCAGACUGUCCUCACAGGCUGUGUGAUGCUGGCUGGUCGUCCCAUCUCUCCGGGGCCCCACAGGACCAGGGACCAGGACACGGAAGGACAGUGGACCACAGUGGUCGGGGGACCCGCCUGUUGGAGGUUUACCUCCUGGGCUCAUGGCCCCUUCCCCAUAUCCCAAGGCCAGCUCUGCAGAGUCAUGGGGAGAAGCCGGAGCCCCAGCCACACUCGCCACACACACCAACACCCACUCUGGUGUCCUCCGACCAGCGACAGCGAGGGACAGAGCGGCGCUCCCUGCACCUGCCCAGUCCAGAGGCUUCUUGGGUGAUGACAGGCCCUGCUCCCGGCCCUGCACACCCCACUAAAGACCCCACGUCUCACCAUAAAGGAGGCCAGGAGGUUUUAAGCUUCUACCAGGUGGUUUAA